AAAAUCCGUCGACUUUUAAAAUCGUGAGGGUUCAAGUCCCCCUCUAUCCCCAUGGUUCAAGACCCCUUAUCCCCA
rnacentral:tRNA from 1 species